UAGGAAUUGGCGGGGGAGCACUACAACGGGUGGAGCCUGCGGUUCAAUUGGAUUCAACGCCGGAAAGCUUACCGGGUCAGACAGCAAUAUGAAGGUCAAGCUAAAGACUUUACCGAAUUCGCUGAGAGGAGGUGCAUGGCCGUCGUCAGUUCGUAUCGUGAGACAUCCUGUUAAGUCAGGCAACGAGCAAGACCCGUGCCCACAGUUGCCAGCAUACCCUCCGGGGUGAUGGGCACACUGUGGGGACCGCCGCUGCUAAAGCGGAGGAAGGCGCGGGCUACGGUAGGUCAGUAUGCCCCGAAUCAUCCGGGCUACACGCGGGCUACAAUGGUUGGGACAAUGGGCACCUACACCGAGAGGUGAUGGUAAUCUCCUAAACCCAGCCUUAGUUCGGAUUGAGGGCUGCAACUCGCCCUCAUGAAGCCGGAAUCCGUAGUAAUCGCGUAUCAAUAUCACGCGGUGAAUACGUCCCUGCUCCUUGCACACACCGCCCGUCAAACCAUGCGAGUGAGGUCUGAAUGAGGGCACGCUUUUUGGCGUGUUCGAAUUUGGGCUUCGCGAGUGGGGUUAAGUCGUAACAAGGUAGCCUCAGUCAGUCA
rnacentral:rRNA from 1 species